rnacentral:lncRNA from 1 species
UACGUUUGGAAGCACAGACGUCAUGAAAGAUAAAGAUUGGUUAGGUCUUGGCAGUUAGCAAAGAUGGGCCAGGUGCUGGUGGCACGCACUGCCUGCUGACGUCCUCCCACAGAGGAUGACAGGCGAAUUGCUCACCCUCGGUCCUGGACUUCGUCAUCUGGAGGCGGCUCUUCCUGGUGGUUGGUGGGAGCCUGGACUCUGCCUUCUGAAUUCAGCUCCCUGUAACCCAUCUGCUUCGCCACUAGAGGCGGCAAAUGCAAGGCUCUGGGCUACGCUCUACAAACAGUCCAGGCAGAGGGUGGGAAGACUGCAGGGUGCGGUGGCCAGAAUGUGGCGUCACGCUUCCUGGGGACAAGCGCACUUCCUCAGACUCAUGCAAUUACAGUCAUGAUGAACACAGCUGGAAACAAGCGAAAGCGAUGCUGCAAUACUCCCUGUGAAGACAAUGCAAACGUCCCAUGGGCGUUGGACCGCAAUCGUCACGCGGCGGUGUGUUUUCUUCCACUUAAGAGUGACCGGAGAUUCUCUUUGUGACUUCGUACUGUGGAAGACCUGUAAGAAUUCAAAUCGUGAGACACCACUCCCCACUGUAGGACUGCCCGGAAGAAGACAUUUGAGGAAGAAUAAGAGGCUCACAGAGGGUGCUUGGACAGAAGCAUCAGACUCCUUUGUCAAUCAGCUUUUCCAGAUGGAGACAAGUUCUAUGUGCAACUCUUUCAGAGUUCACUCACUUCUACUUAGAGCAAUGAAAAGGCGAAUGCAAUUAUCUUUUCAACUCCUGAAGGAAGUCCUGCUUGUUCUAGCUUGGGAC